UGAAUCUAUGAUGAUAUUUUGGCUCCCUCUUCUGAACUUAAGUGAGGAGAACUGCCAUCGUUACCCAAAAAUGUCUGAGGUCCA